rnacentral:rRNA from 1 species
UACGGAGGGUGCGAGCGUUGCUCGGAAUCACUGGGCGUAAAGCGUACGCAGGCUGUUUCGUAAGUCGGGUGUGAAAGCCCGGGGCUCAACCCCGGAAUUGGGCCCGAGACUGCGGAGCUUGAAUGCGGGAGAGGGAAGCGGAAUUCCUGGUGUAGAGGUGAAAUUCGUAGAUAUCAGGAGGAACACCGGUGGCGAAAGCGGCUUCCUGGCCCGACAUUGACGCUCAUGUACGAGAGCGUGGGGAGCAAACAGG